AGAGAGCUGGCAGAAGUCUUGGAAAAAGAACAUAGUGUAAAUCACAGGCUGCUCUUGGAGCCUGGAAAAACAAUCCUGCCUAGUGCAAGUCCAGACACCAGCAUCACUGAAGCACCUCAAGAUGCAGCAGUCCCAGUCGAGUGCAACACAGCAUCCAAAGUUCGGAGCAGCACAACGCCAAAAAGGAAGCGCCAGAGUAGGUCCCAAGUCACGCCGCUCUUGGAGGCAUUAGAAAAAUGCAAGCUUCGAGAGCUAAGCAAGAGGAGGCAGCAGUGAAACAACUGGAGGAAAGAAAAAAAUGGGAAGAGGCAAAGGCAAAGCGGCAUGAUGAGCGCAUGCAGCGAUUCGAUCGGUUGAUCGACGUACUCCUCAAUAAGGACGGGUUAUUAUAUGGGCAAUAAACUUUUAUAACACUAG